UACGAAGGUCCCAAGCGUUAUCCGGAUUUAUUGGGUUUAAAGGGUGCGUAGGCGGGUUAUUAAGUCAGUGGUGAAAGCUCUCAGCCUAACUGAGAAAUUGCCAUUGAUACUGAUGAUCUUGAGUACAUUUGAAGUGGGCGGAAUGUGUCAUGUAGCGGUGAAAUGCUUAGAUAUGACACAGAACACCGAUUGCGUAGGCAGCUCACUAAACUGUAACUGACGCUGAGGCACGAAAGCGUGGGGAGCAAACAGG
rnacentral:rRNA from 1 species